rnacentral:tRNA from 1 species
GGCUGGGCCCCAGCACAGAGGUAGUGCGCCUACACGGCAUGGAGGAGGACGCCGGUUCGAACCCGGCCGCCCAGCCC